UCCCUGGUGGUCCAGUGGUUAGGACUCUGUACUGUCAUUGCCAAGGGCCCAGGUUCAAAUCCUAGCUGGGGAA